GCCGCAGUAGCUCAGGGGUAGAGCAACUGAUUCGUAAUCAGUAGGUCCGGGGUUCAAUUCCCUGUUGCGGCACCA
rnacentral:tRNA from 1 species